UACGAAGGGUGCAAGCGUUAAUCGGAAUUACUGGGCGUAAAGAGCUCGUAGGCGGUUUGUCGCGUCGGCUGUGAAAACCUGGGGCUCAACCCCGGGCCUGCAGCCGAUACGGGCAAACUAGAAUUCGGUAGGGGAGACUGGAAUUCCUGGUGUAGCGGUGGAAUGCGCAGAUAUCAGGAGGAACACCAAUAGCGAAGGCAGCUCGCUGGGACGUUACUGACACUGAGGCGCGAAAGCGUGGGGAGCGAACAGG
rnacentral:rRNA from 1 species